GGAGAGUUGCCAGAGUGGUCAAAUGGACCUGUGUUAUAGUCAGGCGUAGGUAUUCGCACUACCUAUCAGGGGUUCGAAUCCCCUACUCUCCGCCA
rnacentral:tRNA from 1 species